GGGCCCGUAGUCGAGCCAGGACCAAGACGUGGGCCUUCGGAGCGAUUUCAGCGCGAAGAGAGCCCAAAAUCGUGGGUUCGAAUCCCACCGGGCCCGCCA
rnacentral:tRNA from 1 species